rnacentral:rRNA from 1 species
GACAGAGGUCCCGAGCGUUAGGCGGAAUCACUGGGCUUAAAGCGUGUGUAGGCGGACUUCUAAGUACCUUGUGAAAUCCCACGGCUCAACCGUGGAACUGCUUGGUAUACUGGUCGUCUAGGGCCAUCUAGGGGCGAGCGGAACAAACGGUGGAGCGGUGAAAUGCGUAGAUAUCGUUUGGAACGCCAAUGGUGAAAACAGCUCGCUGGGGAUGUGCCGACGCUGAGACACGAAAGCCAGGGGAGCGAACGGG